rnacentral:lncRNA from 1 species
GCCUAUACUAAACCAGCCCAAGCCCAAAAAACCAUAAGCAAAAACAGCCCAAACCAAGCCCUAAGUAUACCCGGCCCAGAUAUGAGAAAAACCCUACCCGGUUCGUUUUCACCCGACCCGACCAAGAUCCGGUUCGCCUCCUCUCUCCCCUGCUAUUUUGCGGUUCCGAAGAAGGACGUUCAGGACGCCGACGACCUGGCGGCGGCAACGCGGUGGACUACAGGCGAGACGGAGCACGGCGGUGACUGGUGGAGACGCGGCCAGGAGCAGCAGCGCGGAGGUGUGGGCCGGUGCGGGGCUCGCUCGGCGGUGGAGUGACGACCAGCUCAGAUCUCCCGUCGUCGGGACUCAGCGAAGACGCGGCCGAGGCGUGCGGUGGCUAGGCGAGACGGGAUGCGCCGGCGAGGAGGAGUGUGGCGGCCUGGCGAGGAUCAGCAACCAGGUNN